rnacentral:lncRNA from 1 species
GAAAAUCGGCUUGCGAUGAAAAAAUUCGCAGGAAAACAAGUUUGCCUGCGCGGUGCUAAGCAUUGUGUGCACGCGCAUGCGCGCAUAAUGGCCGCAGGGCGUCCGCACAGCACAUACGGGACGUGUGCACAGCGCACACAUCACCUCCACACACAUGCACGCACGGGACUGGCGCACAGCGCGCACAUCCCAUCUGCGUGCAUGACGCAAGUCAGGACCUGUGCUCGCGUCAUGUCGCGCACAGGUGGGCCAUUUGCACAUCACUUCGCACACAGACUGGUGCCGCACACUGUGUGCGCGUCGUCCGUGCUGUAGGCCUGUGUGGAUAGGCCCUGUACGCCUGGGGCCUAUGCGUGUGGCGCCCAGUACGCCUAGGCCCUGUGCGCACGACAGCAGACUUAUGCUCCUGCAGCGCGCCGGCUGAGCUCUGCCACCUCGGGGAGAGCUCUGUUGCUGCCCUUAGGU